AAUCAAACUGUGUUUCUCACAUGUAAAAACCAAGGGGAAAAAAAAGAAAAAGCGAAAAACAAAGCCCAGGCCUCAAAGAACAUUGUCGGUGAAGUCAUUCUGUUAGACAUAUACAGGACUGAAGCAUGGCAUGGAGAAAACCUCAAGAUCAAGCCCUUUUUCCUGAAACUUUUGGCUCAGUACUCAGGCUGUCAGCUCAUUGAAAGUGAGGUCAAUCUGACCACACUCUUCCUAAAGGAUCCUCUUCUGAACCAUCUACUUGAGUAUACAUCUCCUGACAAAUCAAUGGCAGAAUCAAGAGGAGCACUUGCUGCAAGCUCUGCGGUAGGGGCUGUCGUGCUCCUGUGAAGUUAUAGCACGGUGGGGCUGCUGCACAAGAGCAACACAAGUA